UACGUAGGGUGCGAGCGUUGUCCGGAAUUAUUGGGCGUAAAGAGCUUGUAGGCGGUUUGUCGCGUCUGCUGUGAAAAUCCGGGGCUCAACUCCGGACUUGCAGUGGGUACGGGCAGGCUAGAGUGUGGUAGGGGAGACUGGAAUUCCUGGUGUAGCGGUGGAAUGCGCAGAUAUCAGGAGGAACACCGAUGGCGAAGGCAGGUCUCUGGGCCACUACUGACGCUGAGAAGCGAAAGCAUGGGGAGCAAACAGG
rnacentral:rRNA from 1 species